GGUCUUACUUUGUCACCCAGACUGGAGUGCAGGGGUCCAAUCAUGGCUCACCACAGCCUUGACCUCCCAGGCUCAAGUGAUCCUCUUGCCUCAGCCUCCCGAGUAGCUUGGACUACAGGAAGGAAUUAAGAUCUCAUUUCCUCACUGAAAUCCAGAAAGAAAAGAUUUUCUGCUGAAGAGAGGUACAAAGGAAUUGAAAGCCAACUAAGGUGGGCAUAAACAUCGAAAAAUCUGCUUCAACUUCAAAUGUGCAAACUGCUGGAGAAGCUACAACAUUAUAUUUUGCAUGCUUAUUCUUUAAAAUAUACUCGACAUUGCUGUAUAGAUUAUACAUUUAUCCAUAACAUUGUAUAAUUCAGAAUUACCCAUCUAGAGCAAAUAUAUCCUUUAUCUUAUGCAAUCAUGAUUUAAGAGAUUUUCGCUGUGAUUCUUGUGACUUUUCCACAGUUGUUGAUUCUGCAAAGCCCUCAGAUAAAUCACAACUUACCGUGUGUAUGUAUAAAGGUAGUUCUCCCCAUUAUGUAAGAAUCAGCUAUAGCUCCUUUCUGACUUUAAAGACAGCAAGAACUUUUGAGCAUAUAAUUUUCAGUUGGCUAUAAAAAUAAUUUUUAAAAAUUGUGAAAGUAAUAGGAUAAUAUUUUAGAAAAUUGAGGAUAUAGAGAAAGAAAAAAAUACCACUCUAAUAAGUAAUGUUUUACCAUUUUCAAAAUAGUUCUUCCUGUUCUUUGUUGGAGCCUCUGAAGGGACUCCAUGUACAGAAACACCCCUCCCCACUUGGUUCUGAUCAAGUUAAUAAACU